rnacentral:rRNA from 1 species
GACGAACGCUGGCGGCGUGCUUAACACAUGCAAGUCGAACGGAAAGGCCCUGCUUUUGUGGGGUGCUCGAGUGGCGAACGGGUGAGUAACACGUGAGUAACCUGCCCUUGACUUUGGGAUAACUUCAGGAAACUGGGGCUAAUACCGGAUAGGAGCUCCUGCUGCAUGGUGGGGGUUGGAAAGUUUCGGCGGUUGGGGAUGGACGCGCGGCUUAUCAGCUUGUUGGUGGGGUAGUGGCUUACCAAGGCUUUGACGGGUAGCCGGCCUGUGAGGGUGACCGGCCACAUUGGGACUGAGGUACGGCCCAGACUCCUACGGGAGGCAGCAGUGGGGAAUAUUGCACAAUGGGCGGAAGCCUGAUGCAGCAACGCCGCGUGCGGGAUGACGGCCUUCGGGUUGUAAACCGCUUUCGCCUGUGACGAAGCGUGAGUGACGGUAAUGGGUAAAGAAGCACCGGCUAACUACGUG